CUUUCUACGGGAGGCAGCAGUGGGGAAUCUUCCGCAAUGGGCGCAAGCCUGACGGAGCAAUGCCGCGUGAACGAAGAAGGUCUUCGGAUUGUAAAGUUCUGUCCUUAUCGAAGAGAGGGUAUAGAGUGAAAAAUGAUAUACUAGGACGGUAGAUGAGGAGGAAGCCCCGGCUAACUACGUGCCAGCAGCCGCGGUAAUACGUAGGGGGCGAGCGUUGUCCGGAAUCACUGGGCGUAAAGGGCGCGUAGGCGGUAUGAUAAGUCAGAUGUGAAAGGCGGGGGCUCAACCUCUAGAGUGC
rnacentral:rRNA from 1 species